UCAGUUAAAUCUAUCAGAUCCUUUCAGAUUUACAUGAGUGGGUGUGGUGCAGGAGCUAAGGGUUGAUUUGGAAUGCUUGCUCAAUUUCACACAUUCUUGACUCUGUAUGCUGUGCUCUCUGAGGGUUUGCUGUGCGAAACCUGUAACCCCCCCGAGAGAAUGCCUCAGACGAAUAAAGCGAAUAGUUCUGCAGCAGGCGGGCGGCCCUUGGCAGGUGCUUGCACCGGACCAUGGUGAACCAUCGCCACCUCAAGCCGAGCCCACGGACCGAGGAGGAGGAGAGGAAGUCCAGGGAGACCUCCAGACAAGUCACCCAGCGAUCCCAAGAAGUACAGGUGAUCUCCUCAGCCCUGGCCCUGCUCACCCCACAGAGGGCCAGACUGCUUCUGCUGUCUCCAGAGCACGAGGGCCACUGUUCCCUGGAGGAGAAGUGGUUCAGCACCAACUACAGCUAGGAGGACCUCACUGAGGAGUGGCCACAGCGCUGGGCCAGAGACUUUGACCUCAACCCUGACCUCCACCUGCCCGCUGAGAACAAGUUCAUUGCAACGGAUUUCACCCUGAAACCGUUGGACUGUAAAGACACAGAUGUCCCGGUGUGGAUAGUGAACAACGAG